GAGGUUGUGGCUCAGUGGUAGAGUUCUCGCUUAGCACACGUGAGGCCCUGAGUUCAAUCCUCAGUACCACA
rfam:Ictidomys tridecemlineatus contig002005, whole genome shotgun sequence.